rnacentral:rRNA from 1 species
GAUGAACGCUAGCUACAGGCUUAACACAUGCAAGUCGAACGGAGUGAUGAUUUCGGUUAUCACUUAGUGGCGAACGGGUGAGUAACGCGUGAGAAACCUGCCUUUCAGUGGGGGACAACAGUUGGAAACGACUGCUAAUACCGCAUAAUGUCAUUUGGGGGCAUCCCUGGAUGACCAAAGAUUUAUUGCUGAAAGAUGGUCUCGCGUCUGAUUAGCUAGUUGGCGGGGUAACGGCCCACCAAGGCGACGAUCAGUAGCCGGUCUGAGAGGAUGAACGGCCACAUUGGGACUGAGAUACGGCCCAG